rnacentral:rRNA from 1 species
UACAUGCAAGUCGAGCGCGAUCUUCGGAUCGAGCGGCGAACGGCUGAGUAACACGUUGGUAGCUACCCCGCACUCAGGGAUAACACACAGAAAUGUGUGCUAAUACCGGAUGGUCCCGAAAGGGUAAAGAAUUUCGGUGCGGGAGGUGCCUGCGGCCUAUCAGUUUGUUGGUGAGGUAAUAGCUCACCAAGACUAUGACGGGUAGCUGGUCUGAGAGGAUGAUCAGUCAGAAUGGAACUGAGACACGGUCCAUACUCC